rnacentral:rRNA from 1 species
UAGGGAAUCUUCGGCAAUGGACGAAAGUCUGACCGAGCAACGCCGCGUGAGUGAAGAAGGUUUUCGGAUCGUAAAACUCUGUUGUUAGAGAAGAACGACGAGGAGAGUGGAGAGCUCCUUGUGUGACGGUAUCUAACCAGAAAGGGACGGCUAACUACGUGCCAA